rnacentral:rRNA from 1 species
GACGAACGCUGGCGGCGUGCUUAACACAUGCAAGUCGUACGGUAAGGCCCUUUCGGGGGUCCACGAGUGGCGAACGGGUGAGUAACACGUGAGUAACCUGCCCACAACUUUGGGAUAACGCUAGGAAACUGGUGCUAAUACUGGAUAUGUUCUCCUGCUGUAUGGUGGGGGUUGGAAAGCUCCGGCGGUUGUGGAUGGACUCGCGGCCUAUCAGCUUGUUGGUGGGGUAGUGGCCUACCAAGGCGGCGACGGGUAGCCGGCCUGAGAGGGUGACCGGCCACAUUGGGACUGAGAUACGGCCCAGACUCCUACGGGAGGCAGCAGUGGGGAAUAUUGCACAAUGGGCGCAAGCCUGAUGCAGCAACGCCGCGUGCGGGAUGACGGCCUUCGGGUUGUAAACCGCUUUCAGCAGGGACGAAGCUUUUUGUGACGGUACCUGCAGAAGAAGCACCGGCUAACUACGUG